CUUUGUGACUCAUCCUUUGUGAUUCAUCACUUUGUGACUCAUCACUUUGUGACUCAUCACUUUGUGACACAACACCUAUUGACACAUUCCCUUGUAACACAUCCCGUGUAAUAUUACGUUGUGACACAUCGCCUUUUGACCAUAACCUUGUGAUACAUCACUUUGAGACACACCACCUUUUGAUAAAUCAUCUUGUAACACAGUAAUUGCCUGAAUUUACAUGAGGGCCACUAACACUACUGGCCUCGACGAAGACAGGAAGCCGGCGGCAUGUCAAAUGUCCCUUCAACUUUCAGUGAAUGAUGGAUUCUGACUUCAAAGUCCUUUUCUUCAUCAAUUUGCUGCAAGCUGAUCAACCCGUGCUAGGGGUCGACGCGUGGAGCCGACACCCCAUAGUGAAGAAACGCUGGUCAGGUUAAUGAGCCAUUAUAUUCCUGACAACGCCUGGUGGCAUUAAGCAAUAAAACCAGUCAGCCAACUUCCCAUUUUAAUGACAGGCCGACCCACGGCUAGUUGCUUUAGUACGAAGCUUGGAAGGAUGACAAGCACAAAGUCACUGCAAAUGGCUACUACACAGAACCACAGUGAUUUGCUGCAGGUCACGCAGAGGCAAUAGUUCCUUGCUUGUCACAAGUCUCCACAACAAGACCUCUAUCAACGGUUCACAUACAGUAUGAUCAAAUAAUUUAAACUAAAACAACAAGAUCCUACACCUGGCAGCUAAUUUCAGCACUGUUUUUGUGGUAAACAAAGUCAGUUUUGAUGAUAUUGAGAAUCAUUCUGAAUGGUUAAACAUAAGACAACCAAUCAUUUCAACAACUUUUAAUUCAUCUUCCCACAAACUAAAUAUCUGUUUACACUAACAAAAACUAAGCUUGAGCAUGACUUGGUAGAAGCCGAACAGGCACUACAGAGUUAGAAGUCUCAAUUUAUGUAUGGUGAAUGCUCUUGGGGUUAAAUUAACAAUGAAGAAAAUUGCCAGUAUUUUAUUAUACUUGAGUCAUGCUUUCAUUCUAAUUCAUGCACGCUGU